AAAUUGAAGAGUUUGAUCAUGGCUCAGAUUGAACGCUGGCGGCAGGCCUAACACAUGCAAGUCGAGCGGUAACACAGAGAGCUUGCUCUCGGGUGACGAGCGGCGGACGGGUGAGUAAUGUCUGGGAAACUGCCUGAUGGAGGGGGAUAACUACUGGAAACGGUAGCUAAUACCGCAUAACGUCGCAAGACCAAAGUGGGGGACCUUCGGGCCUCAUGCCAUCAGAUGUGCCCAGAUGGGAUUAGCUAGUAGGUGGGGUAAUGGCUCACCUAGGCGACGAUCCCUAGCUGGUCUGAGAGGAUGACCAGUCACACUGGAACUGAGACACGGUCCAGACUCCUACGGGAGGCAGCAGUGGGGAAUAUUGCACAAUGGGCGCAAGCCUGAUGCAGCCAUGCCGCGUGUAUGAAGAAGGCCUUCGGGUUGUAAAGUACUUUCAGCGAGGAGGAAGGCAUUAAGGUUAAUAACCUUGG
rnacentral:rRNA from 1 species